rnacentral:rRNA from 1 species
GACGAACGCUGGCGGCGUGCCUAAUACAUGCAAGUGGGACGCAAGGGAACACACUGUGCUUGCACACCGUGUUUUCUGAGUCGCGAACGGGUGAGUAACGCGUAGGUAACCUGCCUAUUAGCGGGGGAUAACUAUUGGAAACGAUAGCUAAUACCGCAUAAUAUUAAUUAUUGCAUGAUAAUUGAUUGAAAGAUGCAAGCGCAUCACUAGUAGAUGGACCUGCGUUGUAUUAGCUAGUUGGUAAGGUAAGAGCUUACCAAGGCGACGAUACAUAGCCGACCUGAGAGGGUGAUCGGCCACACUGGGACUGAGACACGGCCCAGACUCCUACGGGAGGCAGCAGUAGGGAAUCUUCGGCAAUGGACGAAAGUCUGACCGAGCAACGCCGCGUGAGUGAAGAAGGUUUUCGGAUCGUAAAGCUCUGUUGUAAGUCAAGAACGUGUGUGAGAGUGGAAAGUUCACACAGUGACGGAGCUACCAAAAGGCGCAU